rnacentral:lncRNA from 1 species
AGGGGAGAAAAAGGGUUUGGUCAACAUCUGGAAUCAAAUAGUCGAGCCACAUCGCUUAAUCACUAUGAGUCACGGUUAAUUGUUUGUUAACGAAUUUUUAAUGCAGGUUUCUGACAUCGGAGACGGCUUCCGAUCUAGGAUAGCCGGACCGGUCUAGGUGUCAGUUUGUGGAUCCGAGGCUUGAGACGAUGUCUAGGAUAUGUGGAUAGCAAGACUAGUCUAAGCACCCGAGUUAUUGUGAUUGUGUGAUUAUUAUAUGUUGUUAUGGUAUGUACCUCGUGUUGGUAUUAUUGUGUGAGAACCUCCUGGUGGUUCUACUAGUAGUUUUCAGGUCAUUGCUUCCUCAAAUGGUACCACUAAACCGGUCGUGGUCCGGAAAGUGGUGGGCUCGGUUUAACUUGGCUUGAUCACCAAGGGCGAGUGUCACAUGUGGAUGUGACAGCCCCCAGCGAGUCCGAUAGAGGACCGGGGCACGGCGAUUCUGAUUGAGGACCGUGACCGGGCGAUUCCCGAGCGCCUACGCCUGUGUGGUGUAAUAGUGAAGGGAUUGCGGUGUGCCUUAUGUGGAGGAAGAAUGAUUCUGAUGGGCCCUAGGAGUAUAUAUAUAUAUAUGGUUGAUUGAUGUGACACUCAUAAAGAGUGUUUUGAUUUAUUAUGGUUUAAUGCUUUAUUGCUUUAAUCGGUUAUGCUUUAUUAUCUAUAUGUGGAUAGCAAGACUAGUCUAAGCACCCGAGUUAUUGUGAUUGUGUGAUUAUUAUAUGUUGUUAUGGUAUGUACCUCGUGUUGGUAUUAUUGUGUGAGAACCUCCUGGUGGUUCUACUAGUAGUUUUCAGGUCAUUGCUUCCUCAAAUGGUACCACUAAACCGGUCGUGGUCCGGAAAGUGGUGGGCUCGGUUUAACUUGGCUUGAUCACCAAGGGCGAGUGUCACAUGUGGAUGUGACAGCCCCCAGCGAGUCCGAUAGAGGACCGGGGCACGGC